GGCACCCGUAGCUCAGCUGGAUAGAGCGCUGCCCUCCGAAGGCAGAGGUCAAGCCUCAAAAUCGCGCCUCAA
rnacentral:tRNA from 1 species